rnacentral:rRNA from 1 species
AUUGAACGCUGGCGGCAGGCAUAACACAUGCAAGUCGAACGAGUGGCGGACGGGUGAGUAAUGUCUGGGAAACUGCCUGAUGGAGGGGGAUAACUACUGGAAACGGUAGCUAAUAACGCAUACCAUCGGAUGUGCCCAUAUGGGAUUAGCUAGUAGGUGGGGUAAAGGCUCACCUAGGCGACGAUCCCUAGCUGGUCGUAGAGGAUGACCAUCCACGCUUGAACUGAGACACGGUCCAGACUCCUACGGGAGGCAGCAGUGGGGAAUAUUGCACAAUGGGCGCAAGCCUGAUGCAGCCAUGCCGCGUGUAUGAAGAAGGCCUUCGGUUUGUAAAGUACUUUCAGCGGGGAGGCGGUACCCGCAGAAGAAGCACCGGCUAACUCCGUGCCAGCAGCCGCGGUAAUUC